rnacentral:rRNA from 1 species
GACGAACGCUGGCGGCGUGCUUAACACAUGCAAGUCGAACGCGCCUGUCCUCUGGGUUUCUGGGGGGUGGGUGAGUGGCGAACGGGUGAGUAACACGUGAGUAACCUGCCCCCUUCUUCGGGAUAACGGUCUGAAAGGGCUGCUAAUACCGGGUAUUCACUGGUCUCCGCAUGGGGUCUGGUGGAAAGGUUUUUUUCUGGUGGGGGAUGGGCUCGCGGCCUAUCAGCUUGUUGGUGGGGUGAUGGCCCACCAAGGCUUUGACGGGUAGCCGGCCUGAGAGGGGGACCGGUCACAUGGGGACUGAGAUACGGCCCAGACUCCUACGGGAGGCAGCAGUGGGGAAUAUUGCACAAUGGGCGCAAGCCUGAUGCAGCGACGCCGCGUGAGGGAUGGAGGCCUUCGGGUUGUGAACCUCUUUCGCCCGUGGUCAAGCCGCGACGUGGGUCGUGGUGAGGGUAGUGGGUAAAGAAGCGCCGGCUAACUACGU